UACGUAGGGGGCAAGCGUUGUCCGGAUUCAUUGGGCGUAAAGAGCGUGUAGGCGGCCAGGUAGGUCGGUUGUGAAAACUGGAGGCUCAACCUUCAGAGGUCGACCGAAACCAUCUGGCUAGAGUCCGGGAGAGGAGAGUGGAAUUCCUGGUGUAGCGGUGAAAUGCGUAGAUAUUCGCAAGAACACCAGUGGCGAAGGCGGCUCACUGGCCCGGUACUGACGCUGAGGAGCGAAAGCGUGGGGAGCAAACAGG
rnacentral:rRNA from 1 species